CGAAAGCCUGACGGAGCAACGCCGCGUGAGGGAGGAAGGCUCUUGGGUUGUAAACCUCUUUUCUCAAGGAAGAUAAUGACGGUACUUGAGGAAUCAGCAUCGGCUAACUCCAUGCCAGCAGCCGCGGUAAUACGGAGGAUGCAAGCGUUAUCCGGAAUAAUUGGGCGUAAAGCGUUCGUAGGUGGUGAUGUAAGUCUGCUGUUAAAGCGUGUAGCUUAACUACAUAUAGGCGGUGGAAACUACAUGACUAGAGUGCGUUCGGGGCAGAGGGAAUUCCUGGUGUAGCGGUGAAAUGCGUAGAUAUCAGGAAGAACACCGGUGGCGAAGGCGCUCUGCUAGGCCGUAACUGACACUGAGGGACGAAAGCUAGGGGAGCG
rnacentral:rRNA from 1 species